rnacentral:lncRNA from 1 species
UCGGCUUCAGUACCUUUACUUAAGCCGCAAGGUAAACAAGAGCAAGGUAAGUCCUCUAACUCUUUAAAAUCAAAUGCACCAACAUGUUAUAGAUGCCAUAAGAGAGGUCAUUUUGCUGCAUCAUGUCCUGAACGACAUGUAGAACUUAUCACAUCAGUAGAGUUAAAACCAAAUGCAUCGAACGUAGAUGAUUGUCUACUGAAAUCAAGUUUAGAAAUUCCCAA